rnacentral:snoRNA from 1 species
CCCCUCUCAGGACUGCACCUGGAGAGUUUGCAGUACUCUACCAGUCUCAGCUAUGGGAGGGAGAGUCAAGUAGAGGCAUACCCAUUCCAUUCCUAGCUUGGGCAGUAGCUAGCGAGUGGAAGGCAAUCUGCUACAAGU